rnacentral:rRNA from 1 species
CUAGAGACACCAUCCUGAACAUGUCUGGUCUCAUCUCAUUUCAGCUGCUAAGCAGAGUCAGGCCUGGUUAGUAUCUGGAUGGGAGACAACCAGGGAAUGCCAGGUGCUGUAGU